rnacentral:antisense_RNA from 1 species
UGUGGGAGCUGGCUUGCCUGCGAUAGCGGUCUUUCAGUUGCAAAUGUAGUACCUGAUGCACCGCUAUCGCAGGCAAGCCAGCUCCCACA